UACAGAGGCCCCAAGCGUUACUGAGAAUCACUGGGUUUAAAGGGUGCGUAGGUGGCGCGUUAAGUUCGUUGUGAAAUCCCUGGGCUCAACCCAGGAAUUGCUUCGAAUACUGGCGUGCUUGAGGCUAGUAGGGGUCACUGGAACUGACGGUGGAGCGGUGAAAUGCGUAGAUAUCGUCUGGAACGCCGAAGGUGAAAACAGCUCGCUGGGGCUGCGCUGACGCUGAGACACGAAAGCCAGGGGAGCGAACGGG
rnacentral:rRNA from 1 species